GACGAACGCUGGCGGCGCGCUUAACACAUGCAAGUCGAGCGAGAACCUGGGCUUCGGCCCUGGGGACAGCGGCGAACGGGUGAGUAACACGUGGGUAAUCUGCCCUUGACAUCGGGAUAGCCCGGGGAAACCCGGAUUAAUACCGAAUAGCCUCCGGAGCCUUCGGGCGCCGGAGAAAAGGUAGCUUCGGUCUCUGGUCGAGGAUGAGCCCGCGGCGGAUUAGCUUGUUGGCGGGGUAACGGCCCACCAAGGCGACGAUCCGUAGCUGGUCUGAGAGGACGAUCAGCCACACUGGGACUGAGACACGGCCCAGACUCCUACGGGAGGCAGCAGUGGGGAAUCUUGCGCCAAUGCGGGAAACCGUGACGCAGCGACGCCGCGUGGGGGAAGAAGGCCUUCGGGUUGUAAACCUCUUUCAGGAGGGACGAAACCACUCGGGUGAAUAGCCCAGAGGGUGACGGUACCUCCAGAAGAAGCCCCGGCUAACUACGUGCCAGCCGCCGCAGUAA
rnacentral:rRNA from 1 species